rnacentral:rRNA from 1 species
UGGGGAAUUUUGGACAAUGGGGGAAACCCUGAUCCAGCCAUCCCGCGUGUGCGAUGAAGGCCUUCGGGUUGUAAAGCACUUUUGGCAGGAAAGAAACGUCAUGGGUUAAUACCCCGUGAAACUGACGGUACCUGCAGAAUAAGCACCGGCUAACUACGUGCCAGCAGCCGCGGUAAUACGUAGGGUGCAAGCGUUAAUCGGAAUUACUGGGCGUAAAGCGUGCGCAGGCGGUUCGGAAAGAAAGAUGUGAAAUCCCAGAGCUCAACUUUGGAACUGCAUUUUUAACUACCGGGCUCGAGUGUGUCAGAGGGAGGUGGAAUUCCGCGUGUAGCAGUGAAAUGCGUAGAUAUGCGGAGGAACACCGAUGGCGAAGGCAGCCUCCUGGGAUAACACUGACGCUCAUGCACGAAAGCGUGGGGAGCAAACAGG